rnacentral:rRNA from 1 species
CGGGUGAGUAAUGCGUGACCAACCUGCCCCAUGCUCCAGAAUAGCUCUUGGAAACGGGUGGUAAUGCUGGAUGCUCCAACUUGACGCAUGUCUUGUUGGGAAAGUGUUUAGUGGCAUGGGAUGGGGUCGCGUCCUAUCAGCUUGUAGGCGGGGUAAUGGCCCACCUAGGCUUCGACGGGCAGCCGGCCUGAGAGGGCGGACGGCCACAUUGGGACUGAGAUACGGCCCAGACUCCUACGGGAGGCAGCAGUC